AUAACCUGCCGUGCACAGGGGGAUAACACUUAGAAAUAGGUGCUAAUACCGCAUAAGCGCACAGUUUCGCAUGAGACAGUGUGAAAAGCCUGGAAGCGAUUCCGGGCGGUGCAUGAUGGAUCCGCGUCCGAUUAGCUAGUUGGCGGGGUAAAGGCCCACCAAGGCAGCGAUCGGUAGCCGGCCUGAGAGGGUGGACGGCCACAUUGGGACUGAGACACGGCCCAAACUCCUACGGAAGGCAGCAG
rnacentral:rRNA from 1 species